GUGAAUCAUCGAGUCUUUGAACGCACAUUGCGCCCGCUAGUAUUCUGGCGGGCAUGCCUGUUCGAGCGUCAUUUCAACCCUCAAGCGCUGUUCGCUUGGUGUUGGGGCUAUUUACAGAUUGUAUCUGUAAGCCCUGAAAAUCAGUGGCGGGCUCGCUAGCAUCCCGAGCGCAGUAAUUUUUACUUUCUCGCUUUGGGCGUGCGGCGGGUUUUUUCCCCAGCCAUUAAACACUCCUAUUUUUUUAAAGGUUGACCUCGGAUCAGGUAGGAAUACCCGCUGAACUUAAGCAUAUCAAUAAGCGGAGG
rnacentral:rRNA from 1 species